CCUGGGGCCACCAUGGGAGUGUGUCGUGCCGAAACCUCCUUCCUUCCCUUGGGAGGCUGGGGAUGACGGGAGUGCCCACCAUGCCCGUGGAACUGUGUGAGGGCCUGUGCCCAGUUGUUGUGGGCAGAGAGUUCUUCUUCACAGGGGCCUGGGAUUGCUGGACCUGUGCUAAUACUGAACUUAAGCUCAGUAACUCCUCAGGAAAUGCAUCUUUAUGGAUUUGGAAAUAAUUGAGAGACAUUACACCCAAUGGUCCUAUUAUUAUGUGAAGGAUUCUUCCCCUGUUUCAACUGACACUGAAACACUGUGAACUCUUUGGAAGACAAAUGUCAAGGAAAUAAAUGUUAUACAUUGCUAAUUUUAAAUGCACUUGCAAUAUGGUGUCUAUUAUAAUAGAAGUAUUUUUAUCUGAUUUUUGCUAUUAUAAUCCUUUACUGCUUUUCAGGUUGAAGAGGCAUUAUACGUGUUCAUAAGUGUUUUUAUUUCCUUCUGCUAUAAAAUUCUUACUUUGUUCCCAUCGAAGGAACUUUUUAAGAAUAAGGCAAAAGAUAAUUCAACGAUUCUUAAAAUCUUUUCACACUGGAGCCUGAUUCAUUUAAGUCAAUUUUCAAAUUAAAUCUUAUUUCUUAGAAAGAAAACAAAGAUUUAUAGGGAAAUUGAGAAGAUAGUACAGAGAAUUCUCAUGCACUUGCACUCAAUUUCUCCAAUUAUUGAUAUCUUAUAUCUGUACGGUACAAAUAUUAGCUAAUGAGUCAAUAUUAAAAUUUUUGCAAUAACC